AAGAAGUUAGUUAAAUCGUCCUUAUAAUAUUGAGUUGUCAAGUCAAAGUAAUCACAAAUAUUACUUCUUA
rnacentral:tRNA from 1 species